GACAGAGGGUGCAAACGUUGUUCGGAUUUACUGGGCGUAAAGCGCGUGUAGGCGGCUUGGCAAGUUGAAUGUGAAAGCCCACGGCUCAACCGUGGAAGCGCAUCCAAAAACUGCUUCGCUUGAGUCUCGGAGAGGAAGGUGGAAUGCUUGGUGUAGAGGUGAAAUUCGUAGAUAUCAAGCAGAACACCUGCGGCGAAGGCGGCCUUCUGGACGAUGACUGACGCUGAGACGCGAAAGCGUGGGGAGCAAACAGG
rnacentral:rRNA from 1 species